GUCUCCUCGGCCGGCGGGGACUCAGCUCAGCGCGCCGCCGCCGCCGGCUCAGCGGAUUUUGUUUUUGCACUGAAUGUAGCCUGGAUUGAUCCUCACGGGCUUCAGGAGCCCAGGGAUACUAUCAAAGGCCGUAUUUGUGUGUUUCUGCAGAGUUUUGCACAGAUUCUGUUCCCAUGCAAACCGAUGAGGGAGAAAUAUUGGAAGAAAGCUGCUCGGAGGUGGGACAUGAAGAUUUGGUAAUGGAAGGGCAUGGCAAGACUCCGCCUCCUGGUGAAGAAAGCCAACAGUGAGUCAUGGUUUAUUCUGUAAAAGAGUCUUGUGACACAUUUUUGAAAUGCUAUUGUUAAAUCUG
rnacentral:lncRNA from 1 species